GGGGAUUUAGCUCAGCGGCAUAAGCACCUGCCUUGCAAGCAGGUGGUAUCCCCU
rnacentral:tRNA from 1 species